GUUUAGGCCAUGCCUGGCAUCAGUAACUCAGGCUGUUUCCCACACUACAGGCCAGCACUGUGGGCUCUCAGUUUAUUGGGAAAUGGAAAUAAGAGGGAAGGACAAAAGUCCACUGGGAAGCAGACUGGACAGAAAGGAACUCUGAGCAGCUAAACUCUGACUAAUCCCAGGGUAUACCUGCGUUUUCUCUUCACCAGAUUUUUCCUACCAGGAAGAGCAUGUGCUGACCAACAGACAUGAAUUUCAGCCUGGUAGUUACAACAUUCACAGUAUACCCACAUCACUAAGCUGGGAGGCACAUUUUGAGACCCAGAAUCCUGACACCUCCAUGCCUUCAAAAGGUGGAAAUUCACUGAUCUACAAUUCAUCUGAUUUUGCCUUGGUCUUCUUGAAACCUCUUCAAACAAAACAAAACAAAAAAAUAACACUCAAGCUGGAGAAUGGUUCUACUUAUUCAGAAGUGGCCAGCAGAAGAGCUAUAGAGAACAGAGUGAUUCCCAAAUCAGCAAACCCCAUGAGCUUGGAUGAUUCAAACCAAGCUGUCGCCGGGAUCAGCUUCAUUCACUGGCAAGAACCCGCCCAAUAAAUCGCAAGAUAGAACCACUUUAAGUCCUCUCUUUUCUAAAAUAGGAGUGUGUCUCCUACUCAUUUUGUUCAUUUCAAAAGGAUCAAAGACAAGUAAAUUUUUUUAGACUAUGAAUCUGUGGCAAAUGGGUAACUUGAAUAAGAUAAAAUCAUUCUCCAUCAAAGGAAGGUGGAUUGAAGGGGUAACACACUCUCAAACUACCCGCAACAACACCUCCCCCCAACAAAUAAAAUGUAAAUGUGAGAUUUUAAGUAGGUUAAUAACAUAAAACACUCAGAGGAGCCAAGAAGAGACUCUGGCAUCAACAUUAUAGAAGUACUAUGGCUGGCCAGGUGCGGUGGCUCACACCUGUAAUCCUGCACUUUGGGAGGCAGAGGCAGGCAGUUCGUUUGGGCUCAGGAGUUUGAGACCAGCCUGGGCAACAUGGUGAAAACCCAUCUCUACUAAAAAUACAAAAAUUAGCUGGGGGUGGUUGUGCGUGCCUGAGGCUGAGGUAUGAGAAUCUCUUGAACCCGGGAGGUGGAGGCUGCAGUGAGAUGAGAUCAUGCCCCUGCACUCCAGCCUGGGCAACAGGGUGAGAGCCUGUCCCAAAAAACAAACAAACAAAAAACAAAACAAAAAAAGUAACUAUAGCUGCAUACAGUUUAGCUAUUAAACACCUUAUUUGAAAUAAUGUGAGCCGCUAACUAGAAUCAUAUACAUUUUAGAAUUUAGGUCGACCCUAGAGAAAUUUUCCAGGUGAAGAAACUGAAUAUCUGCUCUGGACGCAGAAUCUGAGGGCUGGGCUGGACCAGGAGCCUUGUGCGUGCCUCUAGCAUAGCACAUAGCAUAGAAUGCUCUAGCCUGAGCUCCUGGACUGCAGACCAUAUUCUUUCUCUUUCUAUUCCUAACAGCUAGGAAAGUGUCUGGCGCUUAGUAGGUGUCUAGUAAUUUUUAAUACACCAGUUGGAAGAAGCAAGAGUGUAAAUCCUAGGACAAUAAGAGAAAAAGUUUAGAGGAAAAAUCCUUCUCUGAUCUCUCAGAGCAUGGUAGGGCGAAAUUACCCCAAAAAGCAAAAGUGACCUCAGUGUGGCUUUUUUUAGGUGAACCUCCCAGUCACAGGUAAGUAUUUGCCAGACUGCCCAGAGCGAUCACUUCUGUCAUCGCUAUUAAUAACAUGGCUUGCUUAUUUUGUCUUAUUGGAGUAUUAGAAUGAGUUCACUUGCAAUUAAGUUCCCUGCUUUAAUUACAGCAGAAAUAAAAAAUAGGUAGACAAGUGACUUUCAUUCAAGUAUUUCAGACAUGUUUCACUUUUGAAAUCUGAAGUAUUAAAUAUUAAGCAUCUUGUUUGAAGUUAAAAGUACAGAUUAUCUCAUCACGGAAAAGAUUAAAUUAUAAUGCUAUCUACCUUAUGAUUAAAAUGGCUUGUCAGAUUUUAGUAGCUGUUGAAAGAAUCAUAUCUUUUCUGUAUCUAAAUUGUUUGAUUCUUUUCCCUGAAAAGACAAAAAAUACCGUGAACCCUUAAUUUCAAUAGCACAAAGAAUUGUGCCUUCCAUAUUUAUAAACCAGCCACAGGACAAAGGGAAACAAUAUGGAAUUAAACAUUACAUUCUCUUAAGAAAUAUUUUCUUUCAGGGUUAAAUAAAUAUCUUUAUGCUUUUCCAUUUUCUUUUUGAAACAGAGUAACCCUAUGACAUUUCAAAGUGAAAUAGCUACACACACAAUUUUUAUAGAGAGGCUAGGAUGACUUUUUUUUAGAACAAGUAUAAUUAACCACACACACAGCAUAUUAUUCAUUGUCCUAUGACCUUUUAUUUAAUUUCAUAUUCUGAAAAUGUUUGCUUCUAAAUUUACUCAGGAAAAUGAGGAAAUGUUAUGGUUGCUUUGCUGGCUGUAUAUUACAGUGAAGUAUACCCAGAAUGGUUUUCAAAUGUAGAUGUUAAAAAAUAUCUGUUGUUUGCCUGCUUUGGCAUGUAAAAGUUUUAACAAAAGCAUAGUAAUUUGGAUUUAUCAGAGAGACCCCCCAGCCAAGGUCUUCAAAAAUUCUAAGUAACUAUAAAGUAUGGUGCCCGGUGGGGUCAAGGAGAGGAGCACACCCACUGGAGUACGGGACAAAAGUCAGUGGCUUUGGAUGUCCCUGAAAAGUCUCCUUCCCCCUGCCCUCCCAGCCCCCACUGCUGUCCUUCCUAUUCCAUUGCCUCCAGGGUCCAUGAUGUGGCUGUGUGGCGGGAGUAGAUCAGGGGUUAAACAUAUAUACAUAUAUUUUAAAAGUUGUAAAAUCCCUUCCACUAAAACAAAAACAUAAACAAAAACCCUCUAUUACACAGCAGGUGAAAAGGACCUCCUGUGGUUGAUCUGUGGUUUGGGGGUGGGGGUCAGAGGCACCUAGGAAUAUAUGAAAUGAAAUUUUGGAAUCUCUGCUCUAAUAUGCCUGCCAUUACAAGUUGGGUCACUUUCCUUACUCUAGUGUGAUGCCAUUGCCUAGGCCAGAGCCACUUAUAUGGGAGUGCAGCUUGUGCCCUGUGCCAGGUGCCCAACCAAGAGGGACAUUAGGGAUAAAAAUCCAGCCCUGGCUUCUCUUGCUGCGUCUGGCUCCCUGGUGCAGGGCUGAUUCUGCAGGGAAGAAAGGGCCUCCUUUGUAUUAUGUCUGCCUGAGGGGGAUGUAGUUUUCUUUUUCUUUUUCUUUUUUUUUUUUUUCCGAGACAGAGUCUCUCGCCCAGGCCGCAGUGCAGUGGCACGAUCUCGGCUCACUGCAAGCUCCGCCUCCUGGGUUCACGCCCUUCUCCUGCCUCAGCCUCCCGAGUAGCUGGGACUACAGGCGCCUGCCACCAUGCCUGGCUAGUUUUUUGUAUUUUUAGUAGAGAUGGGGUUUCGCUGUGUUAGCGAGCAUGGUCUCAAUCUCCUGACCUUGUGAUCCGCCUGCCUUGGCCUCCCAAAGUGCUGGAUUUACAGGCGUGAGCCACUGCACCUGGCCUUUCUUUUUUUGGGGGGAGGGGGACAGAGUCUUGCUCUGUCACCUAUGCUGGAGUGCAGUGGCACGAUCUCAGCUCACUGCAACCUCCGCCUCCCAGGUUCAAGCGAUUCUCUUGCCUCAGCCUCCUGAGUAGCUGGGAUUACAGGCACCCGCCACCUCACCCAGCCAACAGGGUUUCACCAUGUUGGCCAGGCUGGUCUGGAACUCCUGACCUCAAGUGAUCUGGCUGCCUCAGCCUCCCAAAGUGCUGGAUUUACAGGCGUGAGCCACUGCACCUGGCCGAAAGCCAAAACAUUUUAAACAAAAUGUGCUCUAUACUUCAAUCUUGACAAAUCCAUAACAUCAUUAAAAACAUUUGUUUUGUUUUGUUUUGUUUUGAGACAGGAGUUUCACUCGUUGCCCAGGCUGGAGUGCAACGGCGCGAUCUCAGCUCACUGCAACCUCCGCCUCCCCAGUUCAAGCGAUUCUCCUGCCUCAGCCUCCUGAGUCACUGGAAUUACGGGCGCCUGACACCACGCCCAGCUAAUUUUUUGUAUUUUUAGUAGACAUGGGGUUUCACUAUGUUGGCCAGGCUGGUCUCGAACUCCUGACCUCAUGAUCCUCCUGCCUCAGCCUCCCAAAGCACUGGGAUUACAGGUGUGAGCCACUGUGCCUGGUCCAUUAAAAACAUUUGUAAAGCUAUGGUGUUGAUAAAGUAUUAUGAAAGACUGCAAAAAAAGAUGGCUAAUUUUUAGUUAUUAUUGCACAUGUUUAGAGGAGCUAAUGACAUUUUCUAUGAUUAAUAAAAGACAUUAUUUAUGUUUUUAUUUAUGUAUUCCACAACAUUUAUUUUAUUUUCUCCAUUUCAGGAAAACCACUAUGUUGUUACAAUAAAGAUUUUCAUGUAAUUUGUGUUCAAUUGAUAGUAAUAAUGUAACAAGUUAAAAAUGAAGGUAAUUGUGUUUAAAAUUUGAGCAUAUUUUCAUCAAAAUGUAAGUUAAAGUGAUUGUAAAUUUUAAGAUCAUAAUUACUUUGUAUAUCUUCAAGAAAAUUAUUGUUUUAAAAUAUUUAUGCCUAUUAAAAUUAGAAGGCAAAAUAAAAAUAUAUGAAUACCAACAUUUUAAAUAAAAAUCAUUUAAAUAAAGCUGAACUUUUUUUUUUUUUUAAGAGGUCUCACUGUAUUGCCCAGGCUGAUCUUGAAGUCCUUG
rnacentral:lncRNA from 1 species